CUCAUGAUGAACGCUAGCUACAGGCUUAACACAUGCAAGUCGAGGGGCAUCAGGAAGAAAGCUUGCUUUCUUUGCUGGCGACCGGCGCACGGGUGAGUAACACGUAUCCAACCUGCCCCUUACUCGGGGAUAGCCUUUCGAAAGAAAGAUUAAUACCCGAUGGCAUAAUGAUUCCGCAUGGUUUCAUUAUUAAAGGAUUCCGGUAAAGGAUGGGGAUGCGUUCCAUUAGGUUGUUGGUGAGGUAACGGCUCACCAAGCCUUCGAUGGAUAGGGGUUCUGAGAGGAAGGUCCCCCACAUUGGAACUGAGACACGGUCCAAACUCCUACGGGAGGCAGCAGUGAGGAAUAUUGGUCAAUGGGCGCUAGCCUGAACCAGCCAAGUAGCGUGAAGGAUGAAGGCUCUAUGGGUCGUAAACUUCUUUUAUAUAAGAAUAAAGUGCAGUAUGUAUACUGUUUUGUAUGUAUUAUAUGAAUAAGGAUCGGCUAACUCCGUGCCAGCAGCCGCGGUAAUACGGAGGAUCCGAGCGUUAUCCGGAUUUAUUGGGUUUAAAGGGAGCGUAGGUGGACUGGCAAGUCAGUUGUGAAAGUUUGCGGCUCAACCGUAAAAUUGCAGUUGAUACUGUCAGUCUUGAGUACAGUAGAGGUGGGCGGGAAUUCGUGGUGUAGCGGUGAAAUGCUUAGAUAUCACGAAGAACUCCGAUUGCGAAGGCAGCUCACUGGACUGCAACUGACACUGAUGCUCGAAAGUGUGGGUAUCAAACAGGAUUAGAUACCCUGGUAGUCCACACAGUAAACGAUGAAUACUCGCUGUUUGCGAUAUACAGUAAGCGGCCAAGCGAAAGCAUUAAGUAUUCCACCUGGGGAGUACGCCGGCAACGGUGAAACUCAAAGGAAUUGACGGGGGCCCGCACAAGCGGAGGAACAUGUGGUUUAAUUCGAUGAUACGCGAGGAACCUUACCCGGGCUUAAAUUGCAGUGGAAUGAUGUGGAAACAUGUCAGUGAGCAAUCACCGCUGUGAAGGUGCUGCAUGGUUGUCGUCAGCUCGUGCCGUGAGGUGUCGGCUUAAGUGCCAUAACGAGCGCAACCCUUAUCUUUAGUUACUAACAGGUUAUGCUGAGGACUCUAGAGAGACUGCCGUCGUAAGAUGUGAGGAAGGUGGGGAUGACGUCAAAUCAGCACGGCCCUUACGUCCGGGGCUACACACGUGUUACAAUGGGGGGUACAGAAGGCAGCUAGCGGGUGACCGUAUGCUAAUCCCAAAAGCCUCUCUCAGUUCGGAUCGAAGUCUGCAACCCGACUUCGUGAAGCUGGAUUCGCUAGUAAUCGCGCAUCAGCCACGGCGCGGUGAAUACGUUCCCGGGCCUUGUACACACCGCCCGUCAAGCCAUGGGAGCCGGGGGUACAUGAAGUACGUAACCGCAAGGAUCGUCCUAGGGUAA
rnacentral:rRNA from 1 species